rnacentral:misc_RNA from 1 species
GAUGAAGAACGCAGCGAAAUGCGAUAAGUAAUGUGAAUUGCAGAAUUCAGUGAAUCAUCGAAUCUUUGAACGCAUCUUGCGCUCCUUGGUAUUCCGAGGAGCAUGCCUGUUUGAGUGUCAUUUCAACCCUCAAGCCCCGCUUGGUGUUGGGCCCCGCCCGCUGUGGCCGGCCCUAAAGACAGUGGCGGCGCCGCCUGGCCCUCAGCGUAGUACAUCUCUCGCUCCAGGGUCCGGUGGCCGCCUGCCAGAACCCCCCAACUCUGUGGUUGACCUCGGAUCAGGUAGGGAUACCCGCUGAACUUAAGCAUAUCAAUAAGCGGAGGA